rfam:Lactobacillus fuchuensis DSM 14340 = JCM 11249 strain DSM 14340 NODE_86, whole genome shotgun sequence.
GUAGAAAAAUUUAUUGUGCUGAUCUAUUGUCCAGCACGGUAUUCAUGAAAAACAAAAAUA